CUUUUGUCUCAUCUCAUCUACUAUAAAAAUGUUUAUAAUUUCCAGAGAGAAGCAGAAGUUGUGGAUGAGGAUCUUCUUGAAAGUAACCAGUUUGAUAUAGCCAACAUAAAUCAUAGAAAUUCAGCUGAACUACACAGGCCAUCAACUGAUCUCUCCAGUGAGAGCAGAGAGAAAGAGUUCGUAGUGUCUGAAAGGGAGACAUGGGAGGACACGUCAGCUUCACAGAGACAAGCACAGCAGGGAUACUCGUCCAGCAAAGAGUCUCAGCAUGAUACAAACAAACAUGUUGAGUCACCCACACGGCAUUCCAGAUCUUCUUCACCAUCUUCAUCACCCAAAGUCUCUAAAAAUUCCCUACGAAGUGAAGUAACACAGCAAGAACCUGUCAGUUUAUGAGUUUGAAACAAUAUAUUUGAUGCAUUCAAUCAUAUAUGCAAAUUAUGCUGUAGUAUAUUGAAAUGUUUUCCCCUUUAUAUAGUGUCAUUUAAAUUAAAGGACUUAUAUGAUUAUACUCUCAAAAAAAGGUACCAAACCGUCACUGUUGUGUCCCUUUCAAAAGGAACUAAUAUGUACCUUUUAGCUUAUGUACCUUAGGAAACUGCAUCUGACAUCUUUGUACCUUUAAAUUCAUAGUCCAUUAUCAGAACUGUCACAGAUAAUGGAAAUUAGAUGUGGCAGACUUAAAAUUAUUUUGUGUAAAUAAUAACCAUCUAAACACAUUUUGUUGCUCUGUUUGUGUAUGU
ensembl:lncRNA